CGAGGAGCUUCUCGAUACGAAGUCAAGUACAAUGGAAACUACUGACCUCUGCUGCCCCAAAAAGUAGACCAACUUGCAAAUGGGCAAAGACAAGAUGAACUUAAAAACCUCAGUGAAAACACAGAGUACCUGUUCUAGAGAAUGGCGAAACCAUCAGGCUGCAGCGCUGCAUCUGAAAUAACAGGGGGUGAGCCAUGUUACCAUGAAGCAAGAGCAGGGGUACCCAACCUUCUUUAUGCUGGCAAUACACACACAAAGUGCUGGGGGUACUCAGCAAGCCAUGCAGUAUCAGUGGAGAAGAGUACAGUCAACAUUUCAGGUAUAGCACUACCUCAGCAUUGCAGUUCUGCUGGAAGCUGAACUUUUACAUCCUACGGCACGGUCAGAGAUCCCAAAGCUUGCCAACAAUUUGCAUUUCAAAGGUCACUGCGAGCCCUGGAGGUGCACGUCUUCC